GGUGGAUCCGGAUCCUCUCCAUUUCCCUCUGAAAUGGAGAGGCUCCAGUACACGGUGAGGAUUUCCCAUGGAGAGCAUCAAUGGUAAAAAUCGUGCCACGUCAUUUAAAACCCAAACCACACACUUAACUGCACACUUAACUGGGGUUAGACACUUAACCCAUCUGAAUAUUUCAAACUUAACCCAUCUGAGACCAAACCCAUCUCAAUAUUUCAAACUCUCUUUCUCACUCUCUUCUCAAUAUUUCAAACCCAUUUCUCUCUCGCCUCGCCGUCACGGUUCGAAACACAAACAAAAGAAACCCACUUCUCUCUCGCCUCGCCGUCACGGUGAGGAUAUCUACGAUUUGAUCGAGCUUUUAACUCAGCUCCUCGCUCAGUUCCUCGCUCACCACACAGAUUGAAAUCCCUAACCCACGAACUCAGCUCCUUGCUCUCAUGGAUUCAAGCUCGUGGGUCAUGACUCAUGAGGCAUACAGGAUUCAAGCACGAUCCCUCACCCACGAACGCAGCUCCUCGCUCACCUCAGACUAUGGGUUUCCAAAUUUCUAGAGGCAACGGAGCAGAGGCUACAGGAAGAGAGAGAAGAUGUUGCUCAUUUGCCUGGGGCAGUCUCUGUUGAUAAGUGGGAUGCUACUCUGCUUGAUGCUUCUUUUGUUGGCUAAAUAGGUGGGGGGAAAAUGGGUCAUUAGGUGGGUAGGUAUUAGUGGGAAAAUGCCAUAAUUUUGGUGUAUGUUGGUAGGUUUUGGCAGAAUGCUUGUGUUGGUAUGUGUUGGCUUGAAUUUGUGUUGGUAUGUAUUAGUGGGAAAAGGCCUGAAUUUUGGUGUAAUUCUCACUGUAAUCUGAGACUUCAGCAAUGGAACAUGGUCUUUUUAAUUAAUCUAUGACUUGUAUACCAAUUUA